CUAUCUGGAUUUCAGCUCUCUUAGAAGUUGAAGGUAGAAUGUAGAAUGGGAGGUAACCAUGGGGCAACCCUGGAACUUGAAAAUGGCUGUCCCAGAGCUAUGCUUAGACAAGUAUGCAAAGUAACUUUAAGAGCAGUAAUCUUUAUCUAUAACCUGUGAAAGUACAACACGUUCUCUGAAGAAAGGACAGCUCAUUAGAAAGGAGGCUCUUUGCAUGUAUACUUCCUGACUCAGAGCACACCAGAGAACAGGAAUCAGGAAAUCAACAACAAGGCCUCCAAUCUCCUAGAGGAACUGUCACACGCCGUGGAAGUAAUACCUGGGACAUUUUUCCACUUGGGGAGCUCUAAGUCGCCACCCAAAUCGUGUUUACUUUGUUAGUUUUGCAUGUGUGUGUGGUGUGUGUAUGAGGGAGAGAUCAUAAAAGCUACUCUUAGCCAUUAUAGAACAAAAAAAUACUGAGAAAACAAAAAUCAAUAAAAACAAGUUAAUGUCCCGAGGCAA